AUUGAACGCUGGCGGCAUGCCUAACACAUGCAAGUCGAACGAAUGGAGGACUGGUGAGUAAUUUCUUGGAAACUGCCUGAUGUAGGGGGAUAACUACUGGAAACGUUAGCUAAUACCGCAUACCAUCGGAUGUGCCCAGAUGGGAUUAGCGAGUGGGUGGGGUAAAGGCUCACCGAGGCGACGCUCCCUAGCUGGUCUGAGAGGAUGACCAGCCACACUGGAACUGAGACACGGUCCAGACUCCUACGGGAGGCAGCAGUGGGGAAUAUUGCACAAUGGGCGAAAGCCUGAUGCAGCCAUGCCGCGUGUAUGAAGAAGGCCUUCGGGUUGUAAAGUACUUUCAGCGGGGAGGCGUUACCCGCAGAAGAAGCACCGGCUAACUCCGUGCCAGCAGCCGCGGUAAUUC
rnacentral:rRNA from 1 species